rnacentral:rRNA from 1 species
GAUGAACGCUGGCGGCGUGCCUAAUACAUGCAAGUCGAGCGAACGGACGAGAAGCUUGCUUCUCUGAUGUUAGCGGCGGACGGGUGAGUAACACGUGGAUAACCUACCUAUAAGACUGGGAUAACUUCGGGAAACCGGAGCUAAUACCGGAUAAUAUUUUGAAUCGCAUGGUUCAAAAGUGAAAGACGGUCUUGCUGUCACUUAUAGAUGGAUCCGCGCUGCAUUAGCUAGUUGGUAAGGUAACGGCUUACCAAGGCAACGAUGCAUAGCCGACCUGAGAGGGGGAUCGGCCACACUGGAACUGAGACACGGUCCAGGGUCCUACGGGAGGCAGCAGUAGGGAAUCUUCCGCAAUGGGCGGAAGCCUGACGGAGCAACGCCGCGUGAGUGAUGAAGGUCUUCGGAUCGUAAAACUCUGUUAUUGGGGAAGAACAUAUGUGUAAGUAACUGUGCACAUCUUGACGGUACCUAAUCAGAAAGCCACGGCUAACUACGUG